rnacentral:lncRNA from 1 species
AUCAAGAUUAUGAUCAAUACCGUGGGGACGGCUUGAAUCAGCCUAUAAAUUCACCUCUUCUACCCUUUGUAAGCACUUUGAGUUUUAUAGUAAUGAAAUGCUAUAGAGAUCACUCGAGCACUCAUUCUCUCAUUGUCACUCGCUAGAGAGAGUUCUAAACCUCCUCUAGCCACCUUCCAUUGUUAGGAUUCUAACUAGGCUUCAAAUUACAUCACCACACACCAAACACUUCACCGAGAAUUCUCCCUUCCCUAGUUAAGAUGCAACCCCUUUAAGUUAAGAAAACUUGUGAAAACAAAAUAUGUUAAGGCAUCAUUCUCCCCUCUGUUUAGCCCUUGACAAGUGUACCAGAUCGUAUCAAGUAAU